UUACGGCCACAUUACGUUGAAACACUGGGUCUCGUGCGAUCGCUGGAGUUAAGCAACAUCGAGCAUUGUCAGUACCUAGAAGGGUGACCGUUUGGAAAUAUCAAGUGCUGUAA